rnacentral:rRNA from 1 species
AACGAACGCUGGCGGCAUGCCUAACACAUGCAAGUCGAACGGGACCUUCGGGUCUAGUGGCGCACGUGUGCGUAACGCCUGGGAACCUGCACUUAGGUUCGCAAUACCUCACCGUAAGGGGUGCUAAUACCGGUUAAUCUAUUCGCACCAAAGAUUUAUCGCCUUUGGAUGGGGCCGCGUUGGAUUCGCUAGUUGGUAGGGUACAAGCAUACCAAGGCGUCGAUCCAUAGCUGGUCUGUGAGGAUGAUCAGCUACACUGGGACUGAGACACGGCCCAGACUCCUACGCAGGGGAGCAGUAGGGAGUAUUGUACGAGGGGCGAUAGCCUGAUACAGCAGUGCCGCGUGUGUGAUGAAGGCCUUAGGGUUGUAAAGCUCUUUUAGACGGGGCGAGAAUGACAGUACCGGGAGAAUAAGCACCGGCUAACUCCGUG